GGGUUGUGAGGUUAAGCGACUAAGCGUACACGGUGGAUGCCCUGGCAGUCAGAGGCGAUGAAGGACGUGCUAAUCUGCGAAAAGCGUCGGUAAGGUGAUAUGAACCGUUAUAACCGGCGAUGUCCGAAUGGGGAAACCCAGUGCAAUUCGUUGCACUAUCGUUAACUGAAUACAUAGGUUAACGAGGCGAACCGGGGGAACUGAAACAUCUAAGUACCCCGAGGAAAAGAAAUCAACCGAGAUUCCCCCAGUAGCGGCGAGCGAACGGGGAGCAGCCCAGAGUCUGAAUCAGCUUGUGUGUUAGUGGAACGGUCUGGAAAGUCCGACGGUACAGGGUGAUAGUCCCGUACACCAAAAUGCACAGGCUGUGAACUCGAAGAGUAGGGCGGGACACGUGGUAUCCUGUCUGAAUAUGGGGGGACCAUCCUCCAAGGCUAAAUACUCCUGACUGACCGAUAGUGAACCAGUACCGUGAGGGAAAGGCGAAAAGAACCCCGGCGAGGGGAGUGAAAAAGAACCUGAAACCGUGUACGUACAAGCAGUGGGAGCACCUUCGGGUGUGACUGCGUACCUUUUGUAUAAUGGGUCAGCGACUUAUAUUCUGUAGCAAGGUUAACCGUAUAGGGGAGCCGCAGGGAAACCGAGUCUUAACUGGGCGUUAAGUUGCAGGGUAUAGACCCGAAACCCGGUGAUCUAGCCAUGGGCAGGUUGAAGGUUGGGUAACACUAACUGGAGGACCGAACCGACUAAUGUUGAAAAAUUAGCGGAUGACUUGUGGCUGGGGGUGAAAGGCCAAUCAAACCGGGAGAUAGCUGGUUCUCCCCGAAAGCUAUUUAGGUAGCGCCUCGUGAACUCAUCUUCGGGGUAGAGCACUGUUUCGGCUAGGGGGUCAUCCCGACUUACCAACCCGAUGCAAACUACGAAUACCGAAGAAUGUUAUCACGGGAGACACACGGCGGGUGCUAACGUCCGUCGUGAAGAGGGAAACAACCCAGACCGCCAGCUAAGGUCCCAAAGUCAUGGUUAAGUGGGAAACGAUGUGGGAAGGCACAGACAGCCAGGAUGUUGGCUUAGAAGCAGCCAUCAUUUAAAGAAAGCGUAAUAGCUCACUGGUCGAGUCGGCCUGCGCGGAAGAUGUAACGGGGCUAAACCAUGCACCGAAGCUGCGGCAGCGACACUAUGUGUUGUUGGGUAGGGGAGCGUUCUGUAAGCCUGCGAAGGUGUGCUGUGAGGCAUGCUGGAGGUAUCAGAAGUGCGAAUGCUGACAUAAGUAACGAUAAAGCGGGUGAAAAGCCCGCUCGCCGGAAGACCAAGGGUUCCUGUCCAACGUUAAUCGGGGCAGGGUGAGUCGACCCCUAAGGCGAGGCCGAAAGGCGUAGUCGAUGGGAAACAGGUUAAUAUUCCUGUACUUGGUGUUACUGCGAAGGGGGGACGGAGAAGGCUAUGUUAGCCGGGCGACGGUUGUCCCGGUUUAAGCAUGUAGGCUGAUUGUCCAGGCAAAUCCGGAUAAUCAAGGCUGAGGUGUGAUGACGAGGCACUACGGUGCUGAAGUAACAAAUGCCCUGCUUCCAGGAAAAGCCUCUAAGCAUCAGGUAACAUUAAAUCGUACCCCAAACCGACACAGGUGGUCAGGUAGAGAAUACCAAGGCGCUUGAGAGAACUCGGGUGAAGGAACUAGGCAAAAUGGUGCCGUAACUUCGGGAGAAGGCACGCUGGUGUGUAGGUGAAGUCCCUGCGGAUGGAGCUGAGACCAGUCGAAGAUACCAGCUGGCUGCAACUGUUUAUUAAAAACACAGCACUGUGCAAACACGAAAGUGGACGUAUACGGUGUGACGCCUGCCCGGUGCCGGAAGGUUAAUUGAUGGGGUUAUCCGUAAGGAGAAGCUCUUGAUCGAAGCCCCGGUAAACGGCGGCCGUAACUAUAACGGUCCUAAGGUAGCGAAAUUCCUUGUCGGGUAAGUUCCGACCUGCACGAAUGGCGUAAUGAUGGCCAGGCUGUCUCCACCCGAGACUCAGUGAAAUUGAACUCGCUGUGAAGAUGCAGUGUACCCGCGGCAAGACGGAAAGACCCCGUGAACCUUUACUAUAGCUUGACACUGAACAUUGAGCCUUGAUGUGUAGGAUAGGUGGGAGGCUUUGAAGCGUGGACGCCAGUCUGCGUGGAGCCAACCUUGAAAUACCACCCUUUAAUGUUUGAUGUUCUAACGUUGGCCCCUGACCGGGGUUGCGGACAGUGUCUGGUGGGUAGUUUGACUGGGGCGGUCUCCUCCCAAAGCGUAACGGAGGAGCACGAAGGUUAGCUAAUCCUGGUCGGACAUCAGGAGGUUAGUGCAAUGGCAUAAGCUAGCUUGACUGCGAGCGUGACGGCGCGAGCAGGUGCGAAAGCAGGUCAUAGUGAUCCGGUGGUUCUGAAUGGAAGGGCCAUCGCUCAACGGAUAAAAGGUACUCCGGGGAUAACAGGCUGAUACCGCCCAAGAGUUCAUAUCGACGGCGGUGUUUGGCACCUCGAUGUCGGCUCAUCACAUCCUGGGGCUGAAGUAGGUCCCAAGGGUAUGGCUGUUCGCCAUUUAAAGUGGUACGCGAGCUGGGUUUAGAACGUCGUGAGACAGUUCGGUCCCUAUCUGCCGUGGGCGCUGGAGAAUUGAGGGGGGCUGCUCCUAGUACGAGAGGACCGGAGUGGACGCAUCACUGGUGUUCGGGUUGUCAUGCCAAUGGCACUGCCCGGUAGCUAAAUGCGGAAGAGAUAAGUGCUGAAAGCAUCUAAGCACGAAACUUGCCCCGAGAUGAGUUCUCCCUGAGACUUUAAGUCUCCUGAAGGAACGUUAAAGACGAUGACGUUGAUAGGCCGGGUGUGUAAGCGCAGCGAUGCGUUGAGCUAACCGGUACUAAUGAACCGUGAGGCUUAACCUUACAACGCCGAAG
rnacentral:rRNA from 2 species